CUCCUCCUCCGCCUCCUCCCCUCGCGCGCCUCGCUGACAGGCCGCCCCAGCCGCCAGGGCGCAGGUACUUUGCCUUCAGAAUAAUUGGCAGGACCCAAGCAAGCUUUCGGAGCGCCCUCGUUUCCUUCUGUCUUUGCCCCCUCCCUCCGGAAAAGAGGAUCCCACUUUUGAAACAAACCGAACCGGAAGAACCCCAGCAAAGCCGAAGCCCGACGGGCUGCUGUGCAUGUGCUGCCCUUUCUUGCAGUUUAUUCUGGGCCUGUGUGGAAUAGAAAGACGAUUCUUUAUCUGACUGGUAGGAAAGAAGAGCGAAGACUCCUCGGGGUUUCCAAGGAGGAGCGGAGCGGCUGCUUUAGUGAAGAAAUGGAGAAUCAAAGAAGUAAAGGACCUGUCUCAAAGUCUCACUAAUAGGGAAUCCUGAGGAGUUUCACACUUUUCAUCCUCCAGCCAUCAAUCAUCUUGUGGGGGAAGGCUAUACAUUGGUAGGAAUAAAAAAGCAAGCAGUUCCUGGCCUGUGAUACUCCAGUUAAGGGUGUCUGACUGACGGCAUGUUGGCACCAGCAUUGAGGGCAGUGAUGGGCUUCAGCUCCAGGUUUCUGUCCUGAGACCACAGCAGGAUGUGCCUUGCUCAAAGG